rnacentral:rRNA from 1 species
GCAAGUCGAGCGAUAAGGUAGGUGCUUGCACUUACUGGACAGCGGCGCACGGGUGAGUAACGCGUACACAAUCUACCCUAUACAGGAGGAUAGCCCCGGGAAACUGGGAUUAAUACUCCAUAGCCCCUAAGAUCGGCAUGGGUUUAAGGGUAAAGCUCCGGCGGUAUAUGAUGAGUGUGCGUACUAUUAGUUAGUUGGUGAGGUAACGGCUCACCAAGACGAUGAUAGUUAGGGGGCGUGAGAGCGUGAUC